rnacentral:rRNA from 1 species
UACGUAGGGGGCGAGCGUUGUCCGGAGUUACUGGGCGUAAAGCGCACGCAGGCGGUCUGCUAAGUUUGGAGUGACAGUUGGUGGCUUAACUGCCAAAGUGCUUCGAAAACUGACAGACUUGAGGGCUUCAGAGGGACACGGAAUCCGGGUGGAGUGGUGAAAUGCGUAGAGAUCCGGAGGAACGCCAAAGGCGAAGGCAGUGUCCUGGGGAGUACCUGACGCUCAGGUGCGAAAGCCAGGGGAGCGAACGGG